AGUGGAAAGUAAGUAUGCGACACGCAGGCUCAUAACCUGAAGGUCGUAGGUUCAAAUCCUACUCCCGCAACCA
rnacentral:tRNA from 1 species